rnacentral:rRNA from 1 species
UACGUAGGAGACGAGCGUUGUCCGGAAUUACUGGGCGUAAAGGGCGCGUAGGCGGCCACCGCAAGUCGACUGUGAAAUCUCCGGGCUUAACCCGGAAAGGUCAGCCGAUACUGCGGGGCUAGAGUGCAGAAGGGGCAACUGGAAUUCUCGGUGUAGCGGUGAAAUGCGUAGAUAUCGAGAGGAACACCUGCGGCGAAGGCGGGUUGCUGGGCUGACACUGACGCUGAUGUGCGAAAGCUAGGGGAGCGAACGGG